GCUAGCGCCCGAGGACUGGUCCGCUCCGCCUGGGGUGCGAAAGGCGGCUCCGUCUCCGCCUCGGUGUUCUUGGGCCGCACCGGUCGGGGAAGUUUUACUGAGUCCCUGUGGCGAGCCCCGAACUCCGGGAACUGCCCGCACGGAAGCGGCUGUGCAGCCGCCAGAGCCGUGGGGCGGGCCGGGCAGGCGGCGGAGGUGCCGGAGAGGAGCGGUUUUCUGGUGGAAGAGACACACCUCACUUGGAGGGCUCAGGCCUCGAAGGGAAAAGGUGCCCUGAAGAGAGGCAGGGCGGCUGAGGAGGCUCCAGGAGCGCAGGUGGCGUCCCCCGGGCCGGACGUUGGUUGAAAAAAAGAACCUACCUGUGAGACUUUGGCCAAAUCAGACUGAACAUAACAUAGAGCACAUAUUUGCUUCUUCUUUCAACUAGUGCUUCACCUUGGUGAUUGUGCCACAUGGAUGACUUUCAGAAACAACAGUUGUAUUGUUAUACAGAGAUUUGUCACAGAAACUUGACAUUCUACAAAUUCUUGAACUAGAAAAAAGGAUUUUCCUAGAAAAGAACUUUCAAGAGCUUAAGGGAAUAUGACCAAAUUGUGCCUGCUCAUAAUCCCUUGGAGAGUUGUCAUCGAUAACUAGAUAAAUGGGAGCCUCAAUGGCCAACUUAAAGAAAUAUAGGUGUCAUGACAGCUUCUCUCCAGGAAGGAUCAACACUUCAUCCCUUUUUGUAAAAACAGCUUCAUACAACCAGUGACUCUAGAGUUGUGCUUUAAACCUGGAGUGGAAAGAAAUGUCUUAUGGCAUUAAAAGACCAUACAAGUUAUUCAUGGAUUUUAUUUAGAGUGUGGAAAAUCUACAUUAUGAUGAAGAAGUUUUGCUGUUAUGGGACAUUAAUGUUCUACCACAAUAUCCUGUGAUCUCAUGCCUUUAAAAUUAGUACUUAUAAUAGAUCGUAUGCAAACUGACUCUACAUUUUCUAUGUCCCCUCUUGCUUGCUAUGUUUUCACCAUUGUAAUUUUUAUUCAGUAUUGUGUUUCUUUGUUUCAGUAGCACUUGUAUUAGAUCAAUUGGAGACUAGUUUUAAACCAGAUUGGUGAGCCUACCCCUCAUAAUUUCUGGUCCAUAGGUCUGGGUGAGGACUGAAAAAUGGCGUUUCAAGCAAAUUCUCAUGAGAUAGUCUUGGUCAUUGAUCCAGAACUUCCCUUUCACCUCCUCUUGUGAGAACUACUACUUGAUUAUUUAAUGAGAUUUAUGGAAGGAAGGAUUUUAUAUCUGUAUAUUCUCCAUCUUACCACCAGUGCCUAGUAUAUACAUGACAUGAAAUACUAUUUUUGGAAUAAAAACUGACAACUCAGCUUGAUCUCAUUUAUAUGAAAGCACUUAUGGAACCUUGGGAUUUUUUUCCUCCAGUCCAUUGGGAUCAUGCUUACCAAUACAUGUCAAAAAAUAGCAUUGACUUGGGGGUCUCUACUACUGUUGACCCUGGACUGUCAGGAGACACUUCCUGAGAUAGUUUUGGGGUGUUUUUUCCUUAGACACUAAAUAAUGGUAACAAAAUUGCCAUGACAUCAAAAGGUUGGUCAGCCAUUCAGACUUACACUUGAGGUCUUAAAAAAGCAGAAGCGACAAAAGUCUCCUUUAGGGCCAUCUGCUUUAAAUUUUUCAGCCAAACCUUCUCAGGGCUAUAAGGUACCACAAGAAGAGACCAAAAGUAAAAUCUACCACGAAUAUUCCUAUUACUAUCAAAUGCUAUAACAAUAAUCCAA